UCCCUGGUAGCUCAGAUGGUAAAGCAUCUGCCUACAAUGCAGGAGGCCCGGGUUCAAUCCCUGGGUUGGGAA